AUGAACGCUGGCGGCGUGCUUAACACAUGCAAGUCGAACGAUGAAGCUGGAGCUUGCUCUGGUGGAUUAGUGGCGAACGGGUGAGUAACACGUGAGCAACCUGCCCCUGACUCUGGGAUAACAGCCGGAAACGGCUGCUAAUACCGGAUAUGCACCAUGAACGCAUGUUCUGUGGUGGGAAAGAUUUUUCGGUUGGGGAUGGGCUCGCGGCCUAUCAGCUUGUUGGUGAGGUAAUGGCUCACCAAGGCGUCGACGGGUAGCCGGCCUGAGAGGGUGACCGGCCACACUGGGACUGAGACACGGCCCAGACUCCUACGGGAGGCAGCAGUGGGGAAUAUUGCACAAUGGGCGAAAGCCUGAUGCAGCAACGCCGCGUGAGGGAUGACGGCCUUCGGGUGGUAAACCUCUUUUAGCAGGGAAGAAGCGAGAGUGACGGUACCUGCAGAAAAAGCGCCGGCGAACUACGU
rnacentral:rRNA from 1 species